CUUCAUUUUAUAGGGUGCUCAAAUAGAAGUUUAAGAAUGUGCAAAGGCUUGCCGGAGCUCGCACAAUUGUUGAGUGAGCGGCAGCGGCCUCAGGAAAAGAACUCGAAUGUCUUCCAUAACUCUGUCCGGUACUUUUGCCCUGAUCAAUAAAACCGGUACACCAAGCAACAAGCAUUAAAGUCAAACGCGAGGGGCUGUGUUAGGGAUGCCUUAAACUCCCUGGGUUGAAGGUGCAACGGGAGCAGCAAGAAAUGACAAGGAAAUGGGAUGGCGGUUUUAACGAGCAUGCGCCUCGCGCUUCUGUUCCGUUCUUGAGAGCUUCAAGAACAGCAGCAGCUGUCAACCUCCUCUUCGCCUGGGGUAUCUGGUCUGCUAAUGAGGCAGCUCCCGAGAGCCAAGGAGCCGCAGCCCUGGCUGUGAAUGACUCUGGUGCAGGCGGCGUGAUUAAUGACUGAGGGUCAACAGAUGUCUCCCUUCUCCCUGGAUCCUCCAGUGCACACAGAGCCAGCUGAAGCUGAAGGGACAGGAGAACACUGGGGCCCCAAGGAACACAGGGACCAAGCACCAAGGGAUCUGGGCAACUCCAGCUUUCUCUCCGCAACAGCAAGGGCUGGGAUGCCUCUCCUGCUCUCAUUUUAAACUUAAGGCGAGGAAAGGAAAACCAUGGACCAGGAUUCUCAACUCAGUCGGGGUCGAUGCCACCAGAAGUGUGGGCUUCAAUCGUCACCAUUGCGAGACUAAGAAGUUUGUGUUCACACUGCUGAGCAAGACUCAGGACCACGGGGUAGCGAAUGGUCAACUCAUAAGGAGGCAGACUCGCCGUGGAUUCCAACAGAUGGCUGUCAGUGGCUUUGCAAGGGAACUUUCUCCAGAGCUGUUUUACAUGAUGGUUCCUACAGAUUCCUACAAUUCUUAGGUAGAGUUGAUGUAGCCUGCAGAUAUUGACACUGCUUCAGAGGUUGGGACAGAUCCUGCCUGAGUUUUAAAGCAAUGAAUAAACUUGGAAACAAGAGGAUUUGCAUAGUGUCUGAUAAAUAAAUAUUCAUGUUUUUAGCA